GUCGGUGUUGCUCAGUGGUUAGAGUAUUGGCCUGCACAUCAAAGGGUCAUGGGUUCGAUUCCCAGUCAAGGGCA
rfam:Myotis brandtii contig315803, whole genome shotgun sequence.